CCAUCAUAAAUGACGUUUUUUUCCCAGUGACAUCGCGUAAAAAUGUUACAGGAUCUGUAAUCAUUAGGGAGAAAUAGGAUUGGCCAGAGGCAAAUGAUACAACAGGAUAAAUAAAUGUGCUCAGAAAUGUACGACGUUGUGCGCAAUAAGGAACGUGUCACCAUAGAAAUAGAAUCUACAUUAGAAUUCCGUGCUCGUCACAAUGUCCAAUUAACAUACAUUUGAAUUCCUAAUUCUAUGUGUAUUACUCAGAGGUGAAGUUAUUCACAAUCACAACCAACCUACAGAAUAUCAAUAGCAAACGCGAAUUCUUCAUUCAAGUCAAUCAAAAGUCGUAUAUGUUUUCCUGUUCUCAGUAAGAAAAUGCUCAAGAGGCAAUUCCGUACACUGAAAGCCCAGGGAAGACUCCCGCUAGACCUCCCUCUGAGACCAAUGAAGGCCUGGCUCCUGGCAGGGAAAAGAGUCUUCUUGGAGCGUGAGACAGAGACAUGGAAGAGAUGGAGGAAGGUCUGUGUAGCUGAAUUG